AAUCAACGCUGGCGGCGUGCCUAACACAUGCAAGUUGAGCGCUUGAGGGGGGCAACCCCCAAGAGAGCAGCGAACGGGUGAGUAACGCGUGGGUGAUCUUCCUUCGAGUGGGGAACAACAUCGGGAAACUGGUGCUAAUUCCGCAUAAUAUCCUCGGGCCACGAGCCUGGGGAUCAAAGCCGGGGACCGCAAGGCCUGGCGCUUGAAGAUGAGCCCGCGUCCGAUUAGCUAGUUGGCGGGGUAAUGGCCCACCAAGGCUCCGAUCGGUAGCCGGCCUGAGAGGGCGGACGGCCACACUGGAACUGAGACACGGUCCAGACUCCUACGGGAGGCAGCAGUGGGGAAUUUUUCGCAAUGGGCGCAAGCCUGACGAAGCAACGCCGCGUGGAGGAUGAAGGUCUUCGGAUUGUAAACUCCUGUCGACCGGGACGAAUGCACUCGACCUAAUACGUCGGAAUGUUGACGGUACCGGUGGAGGAAGCCACGGCUAACUCUGUGCCAGCAGCCGCGGUAAUC
rnacentral:rRNA from 1 species